GAAAAGCACAACAACAGUUGACCGCCCCCAUCUGACUCUAAAUCUCUUCAUUUGAACGAUCUUUCCACCGGAUGCCUACUCAUCAGAGAUUGAAUGUGGUUUUCGAAUGUUCUGAUAAAAUAUGAAAAUGAGAAAGUUUUGAACUGCUAAAUUUCACGACUGUACUGAAUUAGCUUUCCAGAAGAUAUGCCAAGACUACGACAGAUUCUGUCUCUAUUGGCUGACGCUCAGACAACACUGCUAAUGCAGCCAGUCUACAUACUUCCAAUAAUUGGUGGAUAUACAAAUGGACUUUUGUGGCAGGUGUUCAGACUAUCUUCACAUAUUCAAAUGGCAAUGUUUCUCUUGUUAUUGUAUCUUCAAGUUGCUUCAAUUGUCUGUGCAAUUGUUACCAAAUAUCAUGUUGUUUCAAAUAUUGGAAAGCUCUCUGAUCGAUCAAUACUAUUCUGGAUUUUUGUUAUAGUUUAUCAUGGGUGUGCGUUUGUCAUUACAGGAUUUUUUAGUGUUUCUUGUUUGGCACGACAAGAGGAAGAAAAUUUGAUUAAAACGAAGUUUCCAAAUGCGAUCAGCGUAUUCACAUUGGAAAAUGUGGCAAUUUACGAUUUGCAAGUUAAUAAGUGGAUGAUGAUAACAACUAUACUUUUUGCAUUUAUGCUAACUAGUUCUAUUGUGAUAUCUUUUUAUUUUUCCGUCCGACUUCUAAAAACACUUCCAUCAAAGAGAAACACAAUAUCAGCUCGUAGCUUCCGUGGACAUCAGAUUGCAGUGACAAGUUUGAUGGCACAGGCAACUGUUCCAUUUUUAGUGCUAAUUAUUCCAAUUGGCACAAUUGUCUAUUUAUUUGUUCAUGUGUUGCCUAACGCACAAGAAAUAUCAAACAUAAUGAUGGCAGUCUACUCAUUCCAUGCUUCAUUGUCUACAUUUGUAAUGAUCAUCAGUACUCCUCAAUACAGAAAAAUGAUUCGAAGAGGAUUUAGGGCUCAACACCCAAUUAUAUCAACUCAGAUGACAAAAGUCGGUCCACCAUCAGCUGAUAUUAGUCUUCGAUUGAAAAAACUUUCGGCUCCCGAAAUGUGA